ACUCAAAUGAAUUGACGGGGGCCCGCACAAGCGGCGGAGCAUGCGGAUUAAUUCGAUGCAACGCGAAGAACCUUACCAAGGCUUGACAUCACCCGGAAUCUGCUAGAGAUAGUUGAGUCUUCGGACUGGGUGACAGGUGGUGCAUGGUUGUCGUCAGCUCGUGUCGUGAGAUGUUGGGUUAAGUCCCGCAACGAGCGCAACCCUUAUCUUAUGUUGCCAGCACGUUUGGGUGGGGACUCAUAAGAGACUGCCGGGGCCAACUCGGAGGAAGGUGGGGAUGACGUCAAAUCAUCAUGCCCCUUAUGUCUUGGGCUUCACGCAUGCUACAAUGGCCGGUACAACGGGUUGCGAUACUGUAAGGUGGAGCGAAUCCCUAAAAGCCGGUCUCAGUUCGGAUUGGGGUCUGCAACUCGACCCCAUGAAGUCGGAGUCGCUAGUAAUCGCAGAUCAGCAACGCUGCGGUGAAUACGUUCCCGGGCCUUGCACACACCGCCCGU
rnacentral:rRNA from 1 species